rnacentral:rRNA from 1 species
UACGAAGGGGGCUAGCGUUGCUCGGAAUCACUGGGCGUAAAGGGCGCGUAGGCGGCUUGCCAAGUCAGGGGUGAAAUCCUGCAGCUUAACUGUAGAAGGGCCUUUGAUACUGGCGAGCUCGAGGGAGGUAGGGGUAUGUGGAACUUCCGGUGGAGCGGUGAAAUGCGCAGAUAUCAGGAGGAACACCGGUGGCGAAGGCGGAUCUCUGGGCCGAUACUGACGCUGAGGAGCGAAAGCGUGGGGAGCGAACAGG